UCUCCAGUGGCGCAGUUGGUUAGCGCAUGGUACUUAUAAGACAGUAACUGAUUGUGCUGAUCGAUAAUGCAAAGGUAAAAGAAGUAAUGCCGAGGUCGCGAGUUCGAGCCUCGCCUGGAGAA
rfam:Daphnia magna strain Xinb3 contig61268, whole genome shotgun sequence.